rnacentral:snRNA from 1 species
GGAAGCCGGGUUACGGUG